AUGAGAGACGUUUCUUCUGAUAGAGAAAUAGAUGAUACUUACCCUUCACUUCUGUGGGGAAGCUGGUGGCUCCAGAUGGGAUGAGCUAGUGCUGUAUUGCUUUGGCUGUAGGUGUCAGAAGAUGAAAUUCUGCUAAACUUUGAAGAGAAGAGGCUGAAGCAUCAGGACAUGCCAGCAACUACAGAAGAGGGAAAACAGAACUCAGCUGGACGGACACCUGCUGAGACUCUUUUCCACUCUGUCAAUAUGGGAAUCGCACACUCUGUGCUCAGCAAGGUGAGAUAAGAAGGGAUUCGGGUAACUAAAGGCUCGUAAUAAAUAUCAAGCAGCACAGGAGAUUGAAGGUGGA
rnacentral:lncRNA from 1 species